AGUGAACGUUACAGUGAGCAUAGCAAUAGUGUGUCAGUACUCUUGUAACAGUUUUGUAGAGGAGAGUCUAGAAUAGAGUAAAUGUUGGUGUUAACGCGUUGAUACAAACGCGUCUUCCUAUGUAUUCUAUAUGGACGAGCGCGUUACUAUCAGCGCGUUCGACUCUAUUUUGGACUCUCCUUAGCAGUGAGAACAUGUAGCACUCGUAACAGUCAUCAUGUAACAGUGCUGUUGUUAAAGUCGUAGCAUUCGUAGCGUGUUCAACUCGUUCGCAGUAGUGAUUCAUAUCAAUGAUGUGUGUUGCAUAGUGUAUGUGAAUGAAUAGCUGAGAAGGUUCAAUUCGAGAGAUUUAAUGUAAUAUUCGUGAUUUUAAUUGCUGAUUCAUGAUGGAGUUGUGUGAAACAUUUGAGUAACAUUAAUAUUAUUCAGCACAUGAUUUGUGUGUACAAGUAUUAUUAUUUCUCCUCGUGACAAAGAUAAGCAUUUUAUCAAUUAUUUGGAGAAAGAUAUUUUAGAAGGACAGAAGAUGUUGAAUCAUUUUAUUGAGGAGAAAAACAAAAUAUUCAAUACAAAUUUUGAAAUCAAGUUUGAAUCGCAAUAAAACGGAUCAUCAAAAUGAAAAGAUUCGAGCAAAGAUUCGUUAUUGUUUUUAUUUACUUGAGGAAGUAAUAUUUUGCCGAUAAAAUUCCAUGGAAAGUUGCUUACCACAAUGAGGUGACUAAUGGUUCUUUUUUCAUUUAUGUGUCAAUGAAUAUGUUUAUGCAUUUCUGGGAUAGCGUUACUUAUUUGACGCACGCUGAUUACACAUUUUUUGAUAAUUUGCAGUCACUGCUUGAUAGAUGGAAAGCACCAAUAUUUAUAUAUCUUUAUGCUUGAUGUUUUUUGUAUAGAUAUUGAGGCAAUUAUUGAUUUUUUAAAGUAUGCUCGCAUUUGCUGUAGUUAUUUGGUCAUCUUUCACAUGUACUUCAGGAGGAUACAUUUUUUAAAAGCGUGAUUUGUUUGAGAAGAGUGAAAUUUAUCAUUGACGUCAUCGUGUGUGUAAAGUGUAUAAAACUGAGUAAAAAUUACUUGCUGAUUGUGAUUGGCUUUGCAUUUGAUUAAUUUUGUCAAAAAUUCUUCUUUAUAGUUUUCAGUUGAAAGAAAAUAAAAAGUAUAUCCAUUUAUAGAUUUAUUAUUAUUUAUUUAUUAUUCUAAAAGUUUAGUUUCUCAACUUUAAAACACAAUUGUAAGACAAUCUUCGUAUCCAGUGAAUGGACUGAGUUACUUAAGUUUUACAAGAGUACUGCAAAUGUCUUUUUUUACCACCUGGUAGGAGGAAAAAGCCACCUCGAGAUAUUAGCAAAAUAUGUUAUUAAAUUUCUUAUU